GCUGCGGUGGGGCCACAUGGCAGAGAGGGAGGAGGGGCAGGAUCAGGACUCCCCUCCUGGGCCGGGAAGGCUCCGCACCCCGGCAAGUCCCGCGGUCCCAGCCCUGCCCGCCUCGCCCCUGGGGAGACUCACUGUGGUUCAGGGGGUGCCCGCUGGUCUCCGCCGACGCCACCAGCUCCAGGCCUUGAAGUUAGGAGCAAUCUGCUUUGGCGCUCUAGAAGUUUCCUGUAACCGAUUUCCCUACCUGGUGUGAGAGAGACACUUUACAAAAGAAUAACUUUUCUAUAACUGAAGCUCUGAACAAAGGACUGAAUGACCCAUCCAAGCUGUGGAUGUGUUCCAGAGUGACUUUCAAGCCAGCCAACUCACCAACACUGCUAAGAACCUGAUACAACAUGGACUUUGUAGUCUGAUCCUACGUGUGAGACUUUGCCCAGCAGGGAAUAUUGUAGGUGUGCUGGCUGGCCUGAAGAAAAAGGAAAGGAAGAGCUUGCAGCUACUGCACCACAGCAUCUUCCAGCAGGAGUCACUGCAGAAAAUAUUCUAGCACUGGCUUUGGGGAGCUCAUGGUGACUGCACCCUUUUUACACAUCCAGCACUAUCGUGAUAUUUAGCCACCCUCCAGGUACUUGUCUUCUUGGCUGGUAUGGAAAGUCAC